GAUGAACGCUGGCGGCGUGCCUAAUACAUGCAAGUCGAGCGAAAAGACGAGGCGCUUGCUCCUCUGACGUUAGCGGCGGACGGGUGAGUAACAUGUGGAUAAUCUACCUAUAAGACUGGGAUCAUUUCGGGAAACCGGAGCUAAUACCGGAUAAUAUAUUGAACCGCAUGGUUCAAUAGUGAAAGACGGUUUUGCUGUCACUUAUAGAUGGUUCCGCGCCGCAUUAGCUAGUUGGUAAGGUAACGGCUUAUCAAGGCAACGAUGCGUAGCCGACCUGAUAGGGUGAUCGGCCACACUGGAACUGAGACACGGUCCAGACUCCUACGGUAGGCAGCAGUAGGGAAUCUUCCGCAGUGGGCGAAAGCCUGACGGAGCAACGCCGCGUGAGUUAUGAAGGUCUUCGGAUCGUAAAACUCUGUUAUUAGGGGAGAGCAAAUUUGUAAGUAACUGUGCACGUCUUGACGGUACCUAAUCAGAAAGCCACGGCUAACUACGUG
rnacentral:rRNA from 1 species